UACGGGGGGGGCAAGUGUUGUUCGGAAUUACUGGGCGUAAAGGGCUCGUAGGUGGCCAACUAAGUCAGACGUGAAAUCCCUCGGCUUAACCGGGGAACUGCGUCUGAUACUGGAUGGCUUGAGAUUGGGAGAGGGAUGCGGAAUUCCAGGUGUAGCGGUGAAAUGCGCAGAUAUCAGGAGGAACACCGGUGGCGAAGGCGGUUCUCUGGGCAUUACCUGACGCUGAGGAGCGAAAGUGUGGGGAGCGAACAGG
rnacentral:rRNA from 1 species